rnacentral:rRNA from 1 species
UGGGGGUACUCGAGUGGCGAACGGGUGAGUAACACGUGAGUAACCUGCCCUUGACUUCGGGAUAACUUCAGGAAACUGGGGCUAAUACCGGAUAGGAAUCCUUGCUGCAUGGUGGGGGUUGGAAAGCUUCGGCGGUUUUGGAUGGACUCGCGGCUUAUCAGCUUGUUGGUGGGGUAGUGGCUUACCAAGGUUUUGACGGGUAGCCGGCCUGAGAGGGCCACCGGCCACAUUGGGACUGAGAUACGGCCC